rnacentral:rRNA from 1 species
CCUACGGGCGACAGCAGUGAGGAAUAUUGGUCAAUGGGCGGAAGCCUGAACCAGCCAAGUCGCGUGAGGGAUUAAGGCCCUGCGGGUCGUAAACCUCUUUUGCCGGGGAGCAGAGGUCCGGACGUGUCCGGGCCGGGAGAGUACCCGGAGAAAAAGCAUCGGCUAACUCCGUGCUAGCAGCCGCGGUAAUACGGAGGAUGCGAGCGUUAUCCGGAUUUAUUGGGUUUAAAGGGUGCGUAGGCGGGCAUUUAAGCCGGCGGUCAAAUGUCGGGGCUCAACCCCGGCCUGCCGUCGGAACUGGGGGGCUUGAGUGGGCGAGAAGUAUGCGGAAUGCGUGGUGGAGCGGGGAAAUGGAUAGAUAUCACGCAGAAACCCGAUUGCGAAGGCAGGAUACCGGCGCCCUACUGACGCUGAGGCACGAAAGUGCGGGUAUCGAACAGGAUUAGAUACCCUUGUAGUC